rnacentral:rRNA from 1 species
GACGAACGCUGGCGGCGUGCCUAAUACAUGCAAGUAGAACGCUGAAGGAGGAGCUUGCUUCUCUGGAUGAGUUGCGAACGGGUGAGUAACGCGUAGGUAACCUGCCCGGUAGUGGGGGAUAACUAUUGGAAACGAUAGCUAAUACCGCAUAACAGUAGAUGUUGCAUGACAUUUGCUGAAAAGGUGCAACUGCAUCACUACCAGAUGGAGCUGCGUUGUGUUAGCUAGUUGGUGAGGUAACGGCUCACCAAGGCGACGAUACCGAGCCGACCUGAGAGGGGGGUCGGCCACCCUGGGACUGGGACACGGCCCAGACUCCUACGGGAGGCAGCAAGAGGGAAACUUCGGCAAUGGGCGGAAGUCUGACCGAGCAACGCCGCGGGAGUGAAGAAGGUUUUCGGGUCGUAAAGCUCUGUUGUAAGGGAAGAACGAGUGUGAGAGUGGAAAGUUCACACUGUGACGGUAUCUUACCAGAAAGCGACGGCUAACUACGUG